rnacentral:rRNA from 1 species
GACGAACGCUGGCGGCGUGCUUAACACAUGCAAGUCGAACGAAGUGGCGAACGGGCGAGUAACGCGUAAUCAACCUGCCCUUCAGAGGGGGACAACAGUUGGAAACGACUGCUAAUACCGCAUACUGAAGGAGGGGAUUGCGUCUGAUUAGCUGGGUGGAGGGGUAACGGCCCACCAAGGCGAUGUUCAGUAGGCGGUCUGAGAGGAUGAACGGCCACAGUGGGACUGAGACACGGCCCAGACUCCUGAGGGAGGCAGCAGUGGGGAAUCUUCCACAAUGGACGAAAGUCUGACGGAGCAACGCCGCGGGAGUGAUGACGGCCUUCGGGUUGUAAAGCUCUGUUAAUCGGGACGCGGUACCGGAAUAGAAAGCCACGGCUAACUACGUGCCAGCAGCCGCGGUAAUUC